AUGGCCUCGCGGAGAGAUGUGCCAGAUUUCAUGGUGGGGCGACACGGGGGUGCUCGCGGGGAGCUUGGUAGGAGGGAUGGGUGGUCUCUAUGCAGUUGCGCCACCUGUCACCGGCACUUUUGCCGGUCCGGAUGCGUCCGCUCCUCCUCCUCCCCCUUUUCUCGUGUUUGGCGGGGAGCUCGGUUGGAGGGAUGGGUGGCCUCGAUGCGGUUGCGUCACCCGUCGCCUCGAUGCAGUUGCGCCACCUGUCAUCGGCACUUCUGUCGGUCCGGAUGCGUCCGCUCCUCCUCCUCCCCCUCUCCUCGUGUUUGGCGGGGAGCUCGGUUGGAGGGAUGGGUGGUCUCGAUGCAGUCGCGUAACCCGUCGCCGACACAGGGUGUGCCGGUCUGGAUUCGUCCGCUCCCCUUUCUCCCUUGUUCCUCGACCGCGGGUGGGUUGGUGCAGAUCUACCUGCGGAGCGUCUGCGGGUGGUUCUGUCAGUUGAGGCCUUUGUGUAGGUCUCGGAGUUGUCUGGUUGCAGGGCGGUCACUCUGGCGGCGGGAGGCGUGGCGUUUGUGGGCGGAGCGUGCGUCCCAGGUGCGGGCGGGCAACCAUGGCCUCGCGGGUGGUGUGGUUGCGGGUGGUUGA
rnacentral:rRNA from 1 species